GAUGAACGCUGGCGGCGUGCUUAACACAUGCAAGUCGAACGAUGAAGCCCAGCUUGCUGGGUGGAUUAGUGGCGAACGGGUGAGUAACACGUGAGUAACCUGCCCUUGACUCUGGGAUAAGCCUGGGAAACUGGGUCUAAUACUGGAUAUGACUUCUCAUCGCAUGGUGGGGGGUGGAAAGAUUUAUUGGUCUUGGAUGGACUCGCGGCCUAUCAGCUUGUUGGUGAGGUAAUGGCUCACCAAGGCGACGACGGGUAGCCGGCCUGAGAGGGUGACCGGCCACACUGGGACUGAGACACGGCCCAGGCUCCUACGGGAGGCAGCAGUGGGGAAUAUUGCACAAUGGGCGCAAGCCUGAUGCAGCGACGCCGCGUGAGGGAUGACGGCCUUCGGGUUGUAAACCUCUUUCAGUAGGGAAGAAGCGAGAGUGACGGUACCUGCAGAAGAAGCGCCGGCUAACUACGUG
rnacentral:rRNA from 1 species